UACGAAGGGGCUAGCGUUGCUCGGAAUCACUGGGCGUAAAGCGCACGUAGGCGGGUCGUUAAGUCGGGGGUGAAAUCCUGGAGCUCAACUCCCAGAACUGCCUUCGAUACUGGCGAUCUUGAGUCUGGGAGAGGUGAGUGGAACUCCGAGUGUAGAGGUGAAAUUCGUAAGAUAUUCGGAAGAACACCAGUGGCGAAGGCGGCUCACUGGCCCGGUACUGACGCUGAGGUGCGAAAGCGUGGGGAGCAAACAGG
rnacentral:rRNA from 1 species